CCCUCUGCACCUGAGUCUCUGACCAACUCCGCCCCAAACCCACCAGAACCAUGGGCUGCUGUGGCUGUUCUGGAGGCUGUGGCUCCGGCUGUGGGGGCUGCGGCUCCGGCUGUGGGGGCUGCGGCUCCAGCUGCUGUGUGCCCGUGUGCUGCUGCAAGCCCGUGUGCUGCUGCAAGCCCGUGUGUGUGUGUGCUGUGAUUUUCGGGUUCUGGCUCCUUGGAACUUCGUCUGGGGUGUCUCCGACACCUGCUUAAGGGCGAAGGCAGACCAGGUCGGGCUGCAGGUGCUUGGGAGGACGGGCUUCCAACAAGUGUCGGGGAGGACGUUUUCUUGCCUCUACCCUGGGCCAACGGUGUCCCAAUGACCUUCCUGGUGUCACUCGUGCCUGUUUCUGGCCUUCGUGGAUUCAGAACUCCCUCAGUUGUUGGCUCUGAGGAUUCUUUGCUUUUUGAACAGCUCGGUGACCUUUAAAAAGUCAUUUUGUAAUCUGGCACCUUCAGGAGU